rnacentral:tRNA from 1 species
GAGGGUAUAGCUCAGUGGUAGAGUAUGUGCUUAGCAUGCAGGAGGUCCUGGGUUCAAUCCCCAGUCCCUCCA